rnacentral:rRNA from 1 species
GUGGAUUAGAUACCCUGGUAGUCCACGCUGUAAACGAUGAGUGCUAGGUGUUGGGUAGCGAUACUCAGUGCCGAAGUAAACACAAUAAGCACUCCGCCUGGGGAGUACGGUCGCAAGACUGAAACUCAAAGGAAUUGACGGGGACCCGCACAAGCAGCGGAGCAUGUGGUUUAAUUCGAAGCAACGCGAAGAACCUUACCAAGGCUUGACAUCCCCUUGACCGGCACAGAGAUGUGCCCUCUCCUUCGGGAGCAAGGGUGACAGGUGGUGCACGGCCGUCGUCAACU